GGUAAGAAACAGGGCAUAAUGCUUUGCUGCGCUGCGGUAACGUGCUGGUCCUUCGCUGGGUAUGUACUUCAUGUAAAUGCUGAUUUAUUGAACGGCAACUGUGGGAUAAAAUUUGCCUCUUCAGAGGUAAGAAAUCAUUAGAGAACUUCUCGACUUCGGAAAUUGAUCUUUUUGCGACAUCAUUCAGGACAAGAACACUCGUGAGACACAUAUAAUGCUAUUACAUUUAUUACUACUUAUUCGUAAUUUCAUUAUGCGUUACAUUAACUAAGUAACAUACGUU